UAGAGUUUGAUCAUGGCUCAGGAUGAACGCUAGCGGCAGGCUUAACACAUGCAAGUCGAGGGGCAUCGGGAGGGAAGCUUGCUUUCCUUGCCGGCGACCGGCGCACGGGUGAGUAACACGUAUGCAACCUGCCCUCUUCAGGGGGACAACCUUCCGAAAGGGAGGCUAAUCCCGCGUAUAUCGGUUUCGGGCAUCCGGGAUCGAGGAAAGAUUCAUCGGAAGAGGAUGGGCAUGCGGCGCAUUAGCUGGACGGCGGGGUAACGGCCCACCGUGGCGACGAUGCGUAGGGGUUCUGAGAGGAAGGUCCCCCACACUGGUACUGAGACACGGACCAGACUCCUACGGGAGGCAGCAGUGAGGAAUAUUGGUCAAUGGGAGAGAUCCUGAACCAGCCAAGCCGCGUGAGGGAAGACGGCCCUAUGGGUUGUAAACCUCUUUUGUCGGAGAACAAAACCCGGGACGUGUCCCGGACUGCGUGUAUCCGAAGAAAAAGCAUCGGCUAACUCCGUGCCAGCAGCCGCGGUAAUACGGAGGAUGCGAGCGUUAUCCGGAUUUAUUGGGUUUAAAGGGUGCGUAGGCGGUCCGUUAAGUCAGCGGUAAAAUUGCGGGGCUCAACCCCGUCUAGCCGUUGAAACUGGAAGACUUGAGUUGGCAAGAAGUACGCGGAAUGCGCGGUGUAGCGGUGAAAUGCAGAAAUAUCGCGCAUAACUCCGAUUGCGAAGGCAGCGUACCGGCGCCAGACUGACGCUGAGGCACGAAAGCGUGGGGAUCGAACAGGAUUAGAUACCCUGGUAGUCCACGCAGUAAACGAUGAAUGCUGGUUGUCCGGGUCGAAUGAGAUCUGGGCGGCGAAGCGAAAGCGAUAAGCAUUCCACCUGGGGAGUACGCCGGCAACGGUGAAACUCAAAGGAAUUGACGGGGGCCCGCACAAGCGGAGGAACAUGUGGUUUAAUUCGAUGAUACGCGAGGAACCUUACCCGGGCUCAAACGGGAGUGGAAUGGACCAGAGACGGUUCAGCCUACGGGCCGCUUCCGAGGUGCUGCAUGGUUGUCGUCAGCUCGUGCCGUGAGGUGUCGGCUUAAGUGCCAUAACGAGCGCAACCCCCGCCGGCAGUUGCUAACGGGCAAUGCCGAGGACUCUGCCGGGACUGCCGCCGCAAGGCGAGAGGAAGGCGGGGAUGACGUCAAAUCAGCACGGCCCUUACGUCCGGGGCGACACACGUGUUACAAUGGGCGGUACAGCGGGAAGCCAGGCGGCGACGCCGAGCGGAACCCGAAAGCCGUUCUCAGUUCGGAUCGGAGUCUGCAACCCGACUCCGUGAAGCUGGAUUCGCUAGUAAUCGCGCAUCAGCCAUGGCGCGGUGAAUACGUUCCCGGGCCUUGUACACACCGCCCGUCAAGCCAUGGGAGCCGGGGGUGCUUGAAGUGCGUCGCCGCGAGGCGCGCCCUAGAGCAAAACCGGUGACUGGGGCUAAGUCGUAACAAGGUAACCGUA
rnacentral:rRNA from 1 species